AGUGAACGCUGGCGGUAGGCCUAACACAUGCAAGUCGAACGGCAGCACAGUAAGAGCUUGCUCUUACGGGUGGCGAGUGGCGGACGGGUGAGGAAUACAUCGGAAUCUAUUUUUUCGUGGGGGAUAACGUAGGGAAACUUACGCUAAUACCGCAUACGACCUACGGGUGAAAGCAGGGGAUCUUCGGACCUGGCGUGAUUGAAUGAGCCGAUGUCGGAUUAGCCAGUUGGCGGGGUAAAGGCCCACUAAGGCGACGAUCCGUAGCUGGUCUGCGAGGAUGAUAAGCCACACUGGAACUGAGACACGGACAAGGCUCAUACGGGAGGCAGAAGUGGGGAAUUGGGGACAAUGGGCGCAGGCCUGAUCCAGCCGUACCGCCUGGGUGAGGAAGGCAUUGGGGUUGUAAAACCCAUUUGUUGGGGAAGAAAAGCAGCAGGUUUAUACGCCACUGUUGUGACGGUACCGAAAGAAUAAGCACCGGCUAACUUCGUG
rnacentral:rRNA from 1 species